AAAAAAAAAACAACCUUUCUAUCCAUCAAUUAUCAAUCUACUCCCUCAAAAUCAGCAAUCAACUCCCCCGCUUUGUUCAUAAGGUUUGAACCAAACCUUCAAUGGUUGCUUGACCUUUGGGUGGGAGUUUUUCCUUUGGAAGUUUUACCUCUUACAGCCUUUGAUUUGAACCUUUUCCCUCCACGAGAACUAGAUGAUGUCGAAGCUUGUGGUUGAGUUGAUUCAGCAGGAUCUAAUGUUGAGGAUAAUUGUAAGCAUUUUUGUCAACUUAUGAAGUUGUGUGUACAUUUUCAUUUCUAAUGUUUGUACAUCUAUUUGGUUAAGCACAAUCAUGUUUUUAGUUUACACAUGUCAUGUCAUUCUACAUUGAUGUGUGCACAUUUCCUUAGUCUGAUUUAUCGUAAUAUAUGUUGACACAUUAGAGUCAAAUGUGUAAACGGUCGUCCAGUUAGACCUCAGUAUAGCUGUCGAGUUUUCAUUGGUUGUUAGGAUUUUAUUGAAGACUGAAAUAUGCGUGAGUGGUCCAAAUACAAGUGUCAAAUAUUUCAGAUGUGGUCCUGGAAAUUUGUUUUGCCUUUUUAGAAGUGGUUCUAGCAAGCUGUUGAAAACUUUUUUUAAAUAGCUAAACAUGUGUAAGAGUUUGUUAGUUGGCUAUCUAGUAGAUUAUUGAGCAAGGAUUUUUUAUAAUCUUUUUCAUCCUUGCAUUUACGUUUGAACGUGAAUAUUCAUUUUGUUGUUCUCUGAAAAUCCUUAGAGGUUUUAUUCAUUUUAGGUUAGGUUUCUUAGUUGUUUUUCAAUGCUCAAAAUACUUAUCUAAUCUUGAUUGUUUGAGUGUGUUGGAACAUGUUUCCAUUGAUGAAUGCUUGAAGGGAUUUCAAGUUGUGGAGCUGAAGGUUUUCUUCAGCAUUGAAACUUGAGUGGAGCUUGAGCUAUCCAAGAGGUUUUUUGGAUUCAAGCAAGCUGUGGCAAGACAUUGGAUUAACUAUAGGGUGAAGUUAAGACUAUUGUGAAAACAGGGAGUGUUUUACAUUUGUUUGCUUAACUUCAACUUUACAAUGAACUUUGAAUGUUUGCUAUAGUAGAUUUGCUUCGUCUGGACUUGGUCUUAUGGAUGUAGGCUAUUAGCUGAACCAUGUAAAUAUGCUUAUGUGCUUUAUUUUAUACUCAUGUUUGAUAUGAUGCUUAUGCUGAAUAACCAUACCCACAAGCACCGAUGAACACAUCAACACUUUUCGCAAUAGUUUAGUGAGCUUGGUUAAACUUAAACUUUCAUUUUGAUAUUAGAGAACGCUUUGAAGAAUUAUUUUAGUAGAUCCAUGCUUGAUUGUGCUUGUGCCUUGUUUUAGCUUGUGUUGCAUCUGUUUUGAUUUUGUGCGUUUUUGAAUUGAUCUUCUCGUUUUUAGUGUGUCUACAUUUGUUCUGUGUGUGUCCACAUUUGCCUUGCACGUCUGUAUGUGACCACAUUUGUCUUGUUUGUGUCAACAUCUGUAGUGUGCUUAUUAUGAACUUCUUUAGUGAAUGAGGGUUUACUAACAAACCACCCCUGUUAGAGGGAACCAACUAUCCUUAUUGGGAACCUAGGAUGCAUGCUUUCCUAAAGUCUAGAGAUGAGAGGGUAUGGAUUCCAAUUGUCAGUGGUUGGAAAGCACCCGUAGUUGUUGAAGAAGAGGUGAUCAAACCAAAACCAAUAGAAGAGUGGACUAAGGCUGAAUUAAAUCUUGCUAAUUUUAACUCAAAAGCCAUUUAUGCCAUCUUUAUUACUGUUAGUGUAAAUUAGAUGAAAAUUAUUGCUAACCGUUAAAGGUGCAUGGAAUAAACUUCAGGUAAAAAAAAAAAAAAAUGAAGGAAUAAACAUUGUUAAGAAAACUAGGUUUAGGAGAUUCAUUAUUGACUAUGAAAAUCUGAUUAUGCAUGAUGAUGAAACAAGAACCAACUUUCAUGGCAGAAUUUGUGAUGUGUAUAAUGAGUGUUAUGCUUUGUGUAAAGUCUAUACUAAUGUUGAAUUUAUCAAGAAAAUCUUAUGCUCACUACCCAAGAGAUUUAUGUCAAAGGCGACCUCCAUCGAAGAAUGUCCUGAUCUGGAUUCCAUGCAAUUUGAUGAGUUGAUUGGAUCUUUACAAACUUUCAAGCUCAAUCUGAAAAGGUGGGACAAGAAAUCAGGCCGCUGCUGCCCUCUCCAGUCUCCAUUGUCUCCAAGACUCCAGUCGCCGCUGCCUUCUCCAUUUUCCUGUUGAUUUCGCUCCUAAGUCCUUCUUCUUCAAUACUUGUCUCUCCUCCUCUCGUCCUCUCCUCUCAAACUCGUCAGCCGCCGCUGCCCUCUCCACUCUCCAAGACUCCAGUCGCCGCCGCUGCCCUCUCCACUCUCCAACAACUGAAGCUUUUGGUGGUUAGGUCAGUAGGAAUAGGAUAUUACAAUGCAUGUAAAUGUAAACUAUUUUUGUUGAGAAGAGAGAUGGUCUGAAGAAAAUGAUCUCAUGAAUUUUGUAGUAGAAUCUUUGGGUUUUCUUGUGCUGCUAGAGCCGUCCAGAGGUUUCUCAUUUGUAUUUUCAAUGCCCUUGAGAAUUUUGUUCAAUUCCUCACCUCUCUCAUUUUGUGUCCCACGUUACAGUGAUAACUGAUAUGAAAUGGAGUUUUUACUUUUUAUAA